UACGUAGGGUGCAAGCGUUAAUCGGAAUUACUGGGCGUAAAGCGUGCGCAGGCGGUUCGGAAAGAGAGGUGUGAAAUCCCAGGGCUUAACCUUGGAACUGCAUUUUUAACUGCCGGGCUAGAGUAUGUCAGAGGGGGGUAGAAUUCCACGUGUAGCAGUGAAAUGCGUAGAGAUGUGGAGGAAUACCGAUGGCGAAGGCAGCCCCCUGGGAUAAUACUGACGCUCAUGCACGAAAGCGUGGGGAGCAAACAGG
rnacentral:rRNA from 1 species